UACGUAGGCAGCAAGCGUUGUUCGGAGUUACUGGGCGUAAAGGGUGUGUAGGCGGUGAUUUAAGUUUGGUGUGAAAUCUCCCGGCUUAACCGGGAGGGUGCGCCGAAUACUGAAUGACUUGGAGUGCGGGAGAGGAAAGUGGAAUUCCUGGUGUAGCGGUGAAAUGCGUAGAUAUCAGGAGGAACACCGGUGGUGUAGACGGCUUUCUGGACCGUAACUGACGCUGAGGCGCGAAAGCUAGGGGAGCAAACAGG
rnacentral:rRNA from 1 species